GAGUANCACGUGGGNAAAGNGCCCAGAAGCAGGGGAUAACACCUGGAAACAGAUGCUAAUACCGUAUAACAGAGAAAACCGCCUGGUUUUCUUUUAAAAGAUGGCUCUGCUAUCACUUCUGGAUGGACCCGCGGCGCAUUAGCUAGUUGGUGAGGUAACGGCUCACCAAGGCGAUGAUGCGUAGCCGACCUGAGAGGGUAAUCGGCCACAUUGGGACUGAGACACGGCCCAGACUCCUACGGGAGGCAGCAGUAGGGAAUCUUCCACAAUGGACGCAAGUCUGAUGGAGCAACGCCGCGUGAGUGAAGAAGGGUUUCGGCUCGUAAAGCUCUGUUGUUAAAGAAGAACGUGGGUGAGAGUAACUGUUCACCCAGUGACGGUAUUUAACCAGAAAGCCACGGCUAACUACGUGCCAGCAGCCGCGGUAAUACGUAGGUGGCAAGCGUUAUCCGGAUUUAUUGGGCGUAAAGCGAGCGCAGGCGGUCUUUUAAGUCUAAUGUGAAAGCCUUCGGCUCAACCGAAGAAGUGCAUUGGAAACUGGGAGACUUGAGUGCAGAAGAGGACAGUGGAACUCCAUGUGUAGCGGUGAAAUGCGUAGAUAUAUGGAAGAACACCAGUGGCGAAGGCGGCUGUCUGGUCUGUAACUGACGCUGAGGCUCGAAAGCAUGGGUAGCGAACAGGAUUAGAUACCCUGGUAGUCCAUGCCGUAAACGAUGAUUACUAAGUGUUGGAGGGUUUCCGCCCUUCAGUGCUGCAGCUAACGCAUUAAGUAAUCCGCCUGGGGAGUACNACCGCAAGGUUGAAACUCAAAAGAAUUGACGGGGGCCCGCACAAGCGGUGGAGCAUGUGUUUAAUUCGAAGCUACGCGAAGAACCUUACCAGGUCUUGACAUCUNCUGCCAACCUANAGAUUANNGUUCCCUUCCGGGANANAAUGACAGGNGGUGCAUGGNNNNCGUCAGCUC
rnacentral:rRNA from 1 species